GCAGUCGGCACUCCAGCUGGUGGUAGUUGAAGCGGAGACGCAACGAGGAAAAUCCGUACGGCUACAGCGCGCGGGAGAGAUGAUAAGGAUGGCGGCGGCGUCUCCGCCGCCCGCGUCAGCCGUGCGGGUGCGCGGGGGCGGCGGCGCGGCGGCCUCGUCGUCCGCGCGCCUCUUCACGGGGCCCCGGAGUAGAGUCGCGGCGCCAAUUGGGAGGGGGAGGAGGAGGAGGUGCGCCAUCUCGUGCUGCUCGUCUCAGGACGGUGAUGGACCCCGCCCCGCCGCGCCGCCGACCUCUGCGUCGCCUUCCGACGGGUCGAUACAGCUCUACUCCCAGAUCGAGAGGGUGAUCACGGAGGCGGCGAAGCAGUCCCGGGAAGGCUGGGGCUCGACCGGAGAUUGGACCGAAGUGGAGGGAGCCUGGGUGUUGAGACCCAAGUCCUCGGAGCCCUCGUUUGUUGUCCACUUCGUUGGAGGGAUUUUUGUCGGAGCCGCUCCCCAGAUCACAUACCGCUUUUUCCUUGAGCAGCUCGCGGACAGGGGAGCAUUGGUGAUUGCUACGCCGUAUGCGAGCGGCUUCGAUCAUUUCUUCAUUGCAGAUGAAGUUCAGUUUAAGUUUGAUAGGUGCUUGAGAAACUUGGAUGAGCCUAUAAAUGAUCUCCCAACAUUUGGUGUUGGACAUUCCUUGGGAUCUGUUAUCCACAUGCUGAUUGGGUCAAGAUAUGCUGUGCAGCGAAGUGGAAAUGUACUGAUGUCCUUUAACAACAAGGAGGCAAGCUCUGCGAUCCCACUAUUUUCACCUGUAAUUGUUCCCAUGGCACAGAGUUUUGGCCCAAUAUUAUCCCAGCUGACAUCAUAUCCAACAAUCCGUUUUGGGGCAGAAACGGCCAUUAAGCAGCUUGAGAAUCUAAGCCCUCCUGUUGUUAAGCAACUUCUGCCUUUACUUCAACAACUUCCUCCGUUGUAUAUGGACUUAAUAAAAGGGCGAGAGGACUUCAUUCCAAAACCAGAAGAGACACGUCGCCUGAUAAAAUCCUACUACGGAAUUUCUCGGAACCUCUUAAUAAAGUUCAAAGAUGAUCAAAUUGAUGAAACCUCUAUCCUUGCACAAGUACUAAGCUCUGAAGCAGCCAUUAGCUCGUUGCUUGAUAUGUCGAUUCGAUCACUUCCCGGGGAUCAUAGCCUGCCAUUACAGCAGGUUCUUCCUGAUGUUCCACCAGCAAUGGCUGAUGCAGUGAACCGCGGAGGUGAACUUCUGGCAAAUCUGACUGCAGGCACACCAUGGGAGGCUGUUGCUAAGGAGGUUGGUACCACUUUGGGUACUGACUCAGGCAUUCUACGAGCACAGAUCUCAAAGGAUGUCGAGACUCUUGUUGAUGUAAUUGUUUCGUGGAUAUCUUCAAAUUCUGGUCCAAGACUACUUCGUCCAUGAUCACCCGUUCUGCGUACAGAAAUGUCAAUAACAUUGAAGAGCAUCAGGAUUUCACUGACAAACUCCCUUUAACGGCAGGGAUGGCGCAGGUGGGUAGAUGGUGAUGGGCGAGAUUCAGCAACUGCUGAGGCCGACUUGACCUACCAGGCGGUUGCCUUGAUGUCUUAACGCCUAGCCUCACAGCCUGUGACCUAAUCAUGGUGAUUUCCCACUGGUGCCUAAAUGUUUGCUUCUGUCAUGGUUUUUCAAAGAUCCUUUUGUAGCAAUGGGAAGCGUAUGCUUCUGUACUGAAGCUGAUCUGAGAAAUUGACUAAUAGAGCACUAUGCUAUCUCUGCGGGAAAACGAAGGAUGCAUCGCACUGGCAAUAGGAGCUUUGGUGGACAAGUCAUCUUAAGCCAUUGGCAAAGGCAAGAUCUCCUUGCUCUGAUUAUUUUUCUGUAAUCAAUAAUAGAUUGUUGGUAAACGAUAUAGUCUUAUAAGGUGCUUAAGUAACGUUAGAAUAUUUCUCCUUGUUAAGUCCAAGAUCUAAUAUUCAAGAUGGAUAUAUGCAAGGAAUGUUAGAUAAAUUGCUCA